rnacentral:rRNA from 1 species
UACGUAGGAGGCAAGCGUUGUCCGGAAUUACUGGGCGUAAAGCGCGUGUAGGCGGUCUCUUAAGUCUGAUGUGAAAGCCCUGGGCUCAACCCAGGAAGUGCAUUGGAUACUGGGAGACUUGAAUACGGGAGAGGGUAGUGGAAUUCCUAGUGUAGGAGUGAAAUCCGUAGAUAUUAGGAGGAACACCGGUGGCGAAGGCGGCUACCUGGACCGAUAUUGACGCUGAGACGCGAAAGCGUGGGGAGCAAACAGG